UACGGGGGGGGCAAGCGUUGUUCGGAAUUACUGGGCGUAAAGGGCUGGUAGGCGGCCAACUAAGUCGGAUGUGAAAUCCCCAGGCUUAACCUGGGAACUGCAUCCGAUACUGGUCGGCUUGAAUCCGGGAGAGGGAUGCAGAAUUCCAGGUGUAGCGGUGAAAUGCGUAGAUAUUGGGAGGAACACCAGUGGCGAAGGCGGCUCACUGGACUGGUACUGACGCUGAGGCGCGAAAGCGUGGGGAGCAAACGGG
rnacentral:rRNA from 1 species